rnacentral:rRNA from 1 species
CCUACGGGUGGCAGCAGUGGGGAAUAUUGGACAAUGGGCGAAAGCCUGAUCCAGCCAUGCCGCGUGUGUGAAGAAGGCCUUCGGGUUGUAAAGCACUUUCAGAGGGGAAGAAAGCCUUGGGGCUAAUACCCUCGAGGAAGGACAUCACCCACAGAAGAAGCACCGGCUAACUCCGUGCCAGCAGCCGCGGUAAUACGGAGGGUGCGAGCGUUAAUCGGAAUUACUGGGCGUAAAGCGCGCGUAGGCGGUCUGAUAAGCCGGUUGUGAAAGCCCCGGGCUCAACCUGGGAACGGCAUCCGGAACUGUCAGGCUAGAGUGCAGGAGAGGAAGGUAGAAUUCCCGGUGUAGCGGUGAAAUGCGUAGAGAUCGGGAGGAAUACCAGUGGCGAAGGCGGCCUUCUGGACUGACACUGACGCUGAGGUGCGAAAGCGUGGGUAGCAAACAGGAUUAGAUACCCUAGUAGUC